UUAAUUCAAAUUUGUAUAGAGUCGGAACAGCGUCUCUUCGGUUGCCGCUAGGGAAGCUUUUGCAACUCCAUACAAAUUUGAGUUA
rnacentral:pre_miRNA from 1 species